rnacentral:rRNA from 1 species
AAUGGCUGCAGUAAUAUAACUGUACAAAGGUAGCAUAAUCAUUAGUUUUUUAAUUAAAAGCUUGUAUGAAAGGUUGGACGAAGUAAAAUCUGUCUCUUUUUAAUAUAAUUAGAAUUUAAUUUUUAAGUAAAAAAGCUUAAAUUUAUAUAAAAGACGAGAAGACCCUAUAGAGUUUAAUAAUUUAUUUUAAAUAAUUAAUUUAGAUUUAUUUAUUUUAUUUAUUAUAAAAUUAUUUUAUUGGGGUAAUAAAAAGAUAAAUAUAAUUCUUUUUUUUUAUUUUACAUUAAUAUAUGAAUUAAUGAUCCAUUUUUAUGAUUAAAAGAUUAAAUUACCUUAGGGAUAACAGCGUAAUUUUUUUAAAGAGUUCAUAUCGAUAAAAAAGUUUGCGACCUCGAUGUUGGAUUAAAGAUUAGUUUAGGUGUAGAAGUUUAAAUUUUUGGUCUGUUCGACCAUUAAAUCUUUACAUGAUCUGAGUUCAAACCGGUGUAAGCCAGGUUGGUUUCUAUCUUUAUAAAAUUUUUAUAUUUUAGUACGAAAGGACCAAAUAUUUAAUAUAUUAAUAUUUAAUAUUUUGAAUAU